GAUAAUCUGGUACAUUGGCGGGCUGGACAUUUGAGAUGAUGAUGGUCUGUUGAGGCUGGACUGGUAUGACUCCGGGAGGUCCGGCGUAAGCAGAAGGUUCUUCCUACCUUAAUUGCUGCACUCAUCUCCCUGGAUCCUGAAGAAGGAGAAUACUUGGGGAUAUUUUACCCGGGAAGCAGCAAAACCUUUGGCAAAGGGACAGCACCAGAACCAGUGAGCUAAAAGUACAAGGAAGGAAGUUCAGAUGAGUCAUCCGGAGGAACUUCUGAACUCUAUGAACUUUUUUUUAAAGUAAAUUUUAUUAAAAGUUUUAAAAAGAAGAUAAAAACUAGCAAAAGCGAA